GCAAAGGCCGAUUUGGAGUGCUGGAGCGAAGAAGAGCAAAAGCUGCGUUCUGCGCGCGCCCGACUCCGCUGCCCGCCCCGCCAGGCCUCCGGGAGGUGGGGGCUGGGAGGCGUCCCCCGCUCCCGCCCCCUCCCCACCGUUCAAUGAAAGAUGAACUGGCGAGAGAAAGCGUUUGAUUUAUGAGCGUAGGACGAAUCGCAUCCAGGAGCUGCGCAGCCCUGGCCGCUGCCGGGACGCCCUGCUCCGCGCUGAGCUUGGGGCCAGAAACCAGCCAUAGUCCCCACACUCCGCCGCCGCAGCUGAGAUUUAGCGGAGGAAGGGGCGAGGGAAGGUAGGGAGCAAACCUAUGAAGAAACAUCGCGUUGUCAUUGGAACUUCCAAGCCUUUGCUGUUAAGAGCCAGGUUCUUAAAUCAACCCGCCCCACACACAUGUUGCUUACAUGCUGCGUUUUCUCACGGUCUGUUUUGCCUGAACCCAUCAACAGCUGGGAGAUUAAUCAACCACACUGAAAAUGUGGAGGGAUUUAUGGGGGAGGGGGUUGAAAUGUGGGUGUUUGAAACAAAAGUGUAUAAACAAAUGAAUUGUUGAUAACUUAGUUAUUGACCUGGAGACUGGUAGCUUAUUAAAGAAACUCCGUGUUACU
rnacentral:lncRNA from 1 species